ACUUUGAAAACUACCUCUCCUUG
rnacentral:piRNA from 1 species